rnacentral:rRNA from 2 species
UGCACCUGAUUGAUUUUGGUCGCCAACGAGUGGCGGACGGGUGAGUAACACGUAGGUAACCUGCCCAGAAGCGGGGGACAACAUUUGGAAACAGAUGCUAAUACCGCAUAACAGCGUUGUUCGCAUGAACAACGCUUAAAAGAUGGCUUCUCGCUAUCACUUCUGGAUGGACCUGCGGUGCAUUAGCUUGUUGGUGGGGUAACGGCCUACCAAGGCGAUGAUGCAUAGCCGAGUUGAGAGACUGAUCGGCCACAAUGGGACUGAGACACGGCCCAUACUCCUACGGGAGGCAGCAGUAGGGAAUCUUCCACAAUGGGCGCAAGCCUGAUGGAGCAACACCGCGUGAGUGAAGAAGGGUUUCGGCUCGUAAAGCUCUGUUGUUAAAGAAGAACACGUAUGAGAGUAACUGUUCAUACGUUGACGGUAUUUAACCAGAAAGUCACGGCUAACUACGUGCCAGCAGCCGCGGUAAUACGUAGGUGGCAAGCGUUAUCCGGAUUUAUUGGGCGUAAAGAGAGUGCAGGCGGUUUUCUAAGUCUGAUGUGAAAGCCUUCGGCUUAACCGGAGAAGUGCAUCGGAAACUGGAUAACUUGAGUGCAGAAGAGGGUAGUGGAACUCCAUGUGUAGCGGUGGAAUGCGUAGAUAUAUGGAAGAACACCAGUGGCGAAGGCGGCUACCUGGUCUGCAACUGACGCUGAGACUCGAAAGCAUGGGUAGCGAACAGGAUUAGAUACCCUGGUAGUCCAUGCCGUAAACGAUGAGUGCUAGGUGUUGGAGGGUUUCCGCCCUUCAGUGCCGGAGCUAACGCAUUAAGCACUCCGCCUGGGGAGUACGACCGCAAGGUUGAAACUCAAAGGAAUUGACGGGGGCCCGCACAAGCGGUGGAGCAUGUGGUUUAAUUCGAAGCUACGCGAAGAACCUUACCAGGUCUUGACAUCUUGCGCCAACCCUAGAGAUAGGGCGUUUCCUUCGGGAACGCAAUGACAGGUGGUGCAUGGUCGUCGUCAGCUCGUGUCGUGAGAUGUUGGGUUAAGUCCCGCAACGAGCGCAACCCUUGUUACUAGUUGCCAGCAUUAAGUUGGGCACUCUAGUGAGACUGCCGGUGACAAACCGGAGGAAGGUGGGGACGACGUCAGAUCAUCAUGCCCCUUAUGACCUGGGCUACACACGUGCUACAAUGGACGGUACAACGAGUCGCGAACUCGCGAGGGCAAGCAAAUCUCUUAAAACCGUUCUCAGUUCGGACUGCAGGCUGCAACUCGCCUGCACGAAGUCGGAAUCGCUAGUAAUCGCGGAUCAGCAUGCCGCGGUGAAUACGUUCCCGGGCCUUGUACACACCGCCCGUCACACCAUGAGAGUUUGUA